ACACUUAAAUUAAGGGAAAACCCACGCGCCAAAAAAACAAAGCCAUUUCUCGUAGAACAGCGCGCAGCGGCCAGUGUGAGAGAGAGAGAGAGAGAGAGGACAGCGGUGGUCCCUGUUUCCAUUUUGUCCGCGCUUCUCUUCAACUCGCCGCCUUCGUCCUCGCCGUCGGCGCUGAACAACGUCGUCGUCGACGUCGAAGCAUGAAGGCAAAAGUGGAAGAGCAGCACUGCAGCAGCCCAUCGAGAAGGCGCACUGCGUGUAUGAUACGGACGCGUCGACGGUGUGCGGAUCAACGGCGUCUCUGUUUCGGUAGAGUUCUAUCUUAGUAACGGGAGAGAGAGCGAGAGAGGGGCGAUAGUGGCGGUCUCCGUUUGCAAUUUUGGCCGUACUUCUCAUCGCCUGCGUCCUCCCCGUCGGCGACGACGACGUCGAAGCGCGGUCACUCUGAGCUAGCUCCAGUACCGCUUGGGCACUUUUUCUGCUUCCUCUUUUCCUGGUCGGCGCCAGUGGCUCCGCCGCCUCCUCCGUCAACCGGCGCGGCUCCGCCGUGCUAGUCUUGGCCCCGAUCAUCUCUUCCGUCCACCGGCGCAUCUAGCUAGCUCCACCAAUUGUUUGUGACUUGAAUAUUUGUGGACGCCAGUGUUUCCAUCGCCUCCUCCAUCAACCGCCGCGGCUCCGCCCACCGGCCCAUCUAGCUAGCUCCACUUAUUGUUUGUGACUUAAAUAUUUAUGAGGGUUGAUUUAUAACAGUAUAAUUUCAUUAAUUUGAAAAAAAAAAAAAAAAAGGGACAGAUACUGCAAGUAUGGAUCGACCUUCCAGUCAAUAAAAUAAUAGCAUAAUUAAUUAAGAACUGAAUCUACAAACAUGAUGCAACCACAGAUAUAGCUCAUAUAUUCUAAGUAGAAGCCAAAGAACUUUCAGAAAUUAACAAGCCUCCCUAUUAACCUCAAUCUCUUGUUGCUAAAACCCGCUUCUUCCAUUGACGUCCGCGGGUUUACUGCGAGACCUUCCUUGAGUGGCGGCCGGUGCCCACGGCCGCUCGGCGGCGGUGGUGAGAACCGAACAGGAGAGAGAGGAUGUAAUCGGGCAUCAUGGUCUUCACUAACAAUAGGUGCGGCUCCGCCGUGCUAGUCUUGGCCCCGAUCAUGUCCUCCGUCCACCGGCGCAUCUAGCUAGCUGCACCUAUUGUUUGUGACUUAAAUAUUUGUGAGGAUUGAUUUAUAAGAGUAUAAUUUCAUUAAUUUAUCAGGCUACCUCCCAUUAUUAAUUAUUAUUUGGUUUGAAGGUCGACGCCAGUGGCUCCGCUGCCUCCUCCGUAGACCGCCGCGGCUCCACCGUGCUAGCCUUGGCCCCGAUCAUGUCCUCCGUCCACCGGCGCAUCUAGCUAGCUCCACUUAAUGUUUGUGACUUAAAUAUUUGUGAGGGUUGUUUUAUAAGAGUAUAAUUUCAUUAAUUCGAAGAAAAGUAAAAAAAGAUACUGCAAGUAUGGAUCGACUAUAUAUGAAGCUUUCAGUGAAUAACAUAAUAGGAAUCUACAAACAUGAUGCGACCACAGAUAUAGCUCAUAUAUUCUAAGUAGGAGCCAAGGCACUUUCAGAAAUUAACAAGCCACCCUAUGAACCUCAAUCUCUUAUUGCUAAAACCUUCUUCAAUUCACGUCUGCGGGUUUACUGGACGACGGCGACGGUGGCGACUGCGACGACGAGACCUUCCUUGAGUGGCGGCCGGUGCCCUCGGCCGUGCGGCGGUGGUGGUGACAGCGGAACAGGAGAGAGAGAAUGUAAUCGAGCAUCAUGGUCUUAACUAACUUCCUCCUGGGUGGUAUCAGGCUCCCAUUAUUCUUUGGUUUGAAGGUCGAUGCCAGUGGCUCCGUCGCCUCCUCCGUCAAUCGCCUCGUCUCCGACGUGAUCCCGAUCAUGUCUUUCUUUCAGUACCUGCUCCGGCUGGCUCUCCUCAAUGGAUGGGUUGAUUUAUAAAAUUAU